GCCUUGAAAGCUCAGUUGGUUAGAGAGCAGUGCUCAUAACGCCACGGUUGCAUGUUCGAUCCCCAUAUUGGGGCA